GCCGGCGUGGCGGAACUGGCAGACGCGCGGGACUUAAAAUCCCGUGAUAGCAAUAUCGUACCGGUUCAAUUCCGGUCGCCGGCA
rnacentral:tRNA from 1 species